GGGAAGACAACAUGCCCCGCCGACCCGCUAUGAGGCGGGGAGCGGCCGUGUUCUUCCUCAGUGCCUCACUGCAGCUGGAAAAGAGAGAGUCUAAGGUGCGGUUUGUUUCCUCUCCUCCCUUGCUGUAAUCUGCUAGCUACAAUAUAUUGCUGAGCAUUCAAGUAGAGCUGCCCCAUGAUACAGAACUGGGACUCAAAAUUUCCUGCUCCUUCAACAAGUCAACUUGACCAGUUUGGAGUCUGGCCAUAAAAAACAGGCCUUUCUAACCUGCUGUGGUUCAGGACACCAGCCUUCAAAUUGUGGCUCUGUUUAUCAGGAUUUGCAUUCUAAUUUCUUUGGGUACAAAGCCAAGUAUUUCUCUGCAUGUCGCCUUCCUGUGGACUUAUUAAUUGAUCGAAGAUUUAGCUGGAAUGUUCUGACCUAGGAAGUAUGUCUCCUUCUGCAGUGCUUGCAUGAUUUUGAUUUAGCAGCUUUGCCAGUGGUCAAAGGAUCAGAACAUCAGUAGAAAGUUGAAGAAGAAAACACUGUGUGAAGAAACACAUCCUACUCCAUUAGAAAUGAUGGAGUUGGAAAAGUCUCUCCCUGUCCAAAGGCCCUGUUUCACAGGCUGCUUUCCAAGGACUCGCUGACCUUGAUAACUCUGUAGUGCACAUACUGAAGAUAAUAAGCAGCUGGUUUUGCAUGUGUCACAAGUUUUUUGAAAUUUGUGUAUGGAUGACCCAGCUGAAGAAUACUAAUACUGAAUGAAGAUGGAGGACAGAAACUAACAUGUGUCAGUGGAGCAUAACAAAUCCACAGGAAGGGCUUAGUUUUACCGAAGUUCAUUUGCUACUUUAUAUCUGUAGUAAUUCUAAGCAAAGUUACCUAAGAAAUUAAAUUGACACAAACACAAUAGAUGCUCAUUAUGAAUCAGAAAAUUAUUCUGAGCUGAGACAGAUUUGUUUAAAAAGUUGGAGACUGGAAAUGCUGAAAUUAGCAGUUUUGUAUGAUCUUUUAAGAAAUAUUUCUUUGUAAUGGCAGAAAAAAUUGAAACACCUUUGAAUUCAAUUGUUAGUCCAGGCUAGCUGGUAUCUGGUCUCAUACUUUCCUUACUACAAGGAAAGUAUGAGACCAGAUACCAGCUACCCUGCCCUU